AACGAACGCUGGCGGCAUGCCUAACACAUGCAAGUCGAACGAGACCUUCGGGUCUAGUGGCGCACGGGUGCGUAACGCGUGGGAACCUGCCCUUAGGUUCGGAAUAACUCCCCGAAAGGUGUGCUAAUACCGGUUAAUGUCUUCGGACCUAAGAUUUAUCGCCUUUGGAUGGGCCCGCGUUGGAUUAGCCAGUUGGUAGGGUAAAAGCCGACCAUGGCGACGAUCCAUAGCUGGUCUGAGAGCAUGACCAACCACGAUGGGACUGAGACACGGCCCAGACUCCUACGGGAGGCAGCAGUGGGGAAUAUUGGAGGCUGGGCGAAAGCCUGAUCCAGCCAUGCCGCGUAAGUGAUGAAGGCCUUAGGGUUGUAAAGCUCUUUUACACGGAGUGAUAAUGACAGUAACGGGAGAAUAAGCACCGGCUAACUACGUG
rnacentral:rRNA from 1 species